rnacentral:rRNA from 1 species
GAUGAACGCUAGCGGCAGGCCUAAUACAUGCAAGUCGAACGAUACCAAGGAGCUUGCUCUUUGGGAAAGUGGCGCACGGGUGCGUAACGCGUAUGCAACCUACCUUAAUCAGGGGGAUAGCCCGAAGAAAUUCGGAUUAACACCGCAUAAAAACACAGUACAGCAUUGUACAAUGUUCAAAUAUUUAUAGGAUUAAGAUG